rnacentral:rRNA from 1 species
AUUGAACGCUGGCGGCAGGCCUAACACAUGCAAGUCGAACGGAGUGGCGGACGGGUGAGUAAUGUCUGGGAAACUGCCUGAUGGAGGGGGAUAACGUCCGGAAACGGGCGCUAAUACCGCAUACUAUCAGAUCAGCCUAGGUCGGAUUAGCUAGUUGGUGGGGUAAAGGCCUACUAAGGCGACGAUCCGUAACUGGUCUGAGAGGAUGAUCAGUCACACUGGAACUGAGACACGGUCCAGACUCCUACGGGAGGCAGCAGUAGGGAAUAGUGGACAAUGGGCGAAAGCCUGAUCCAGACAUGCCGCGUGUGUGAAGAAGGUCUUCGGAUUGUAAAGCACUGUAAGUUGGGAGGCGUUACCAACAGAAUAAGCACCGGCUAACUACGUGCCAGCCGCCGCGGUAAUAC